rnacentral:lncRNA from 1 species
CAUUGACAUAUCUCAUUUCCAUGGAGAUUAUUUGGCCCUGCCCCCUUAGUCAUGGUCUAUUGACUUUGAAAUUGUUUCUAUGUUAUCAUGUAUUAGUUUGUGAUUAGGUCAGUUCAAGGGGAACCAUUAGUGGUAGGCCAAUGUUAAUUGGUAUUCAGUUGUAUAAUCUUUGGCACAUCUCAUUUCCAUGGAGAAUAUUUGGCCUUGCCCCUCAGUCACAGUCUAAUGACUUUGAAACUUAUCUUAGUUUACAUGUAUUAGUUUGUGAU